CAAUGUUUAGUGUUCUCAUAAUCUGUUUCCUCACUCUAUAAGGUUUCAUCAAAUACAUCCAAAGAACACCUUUAAAAUGCAAAAUCAAUUGAGACUUCAAGAUAUUGGGUGGAGUUGCAAUGAAGAAUUUGAAAUCUUAAUUCCUUUGCUAAAGAUAAUGGCCCACUAGAUGGUUUUUUCUGUUUUGUUGAUGGAUUUCAAUUUUCAACUACAGGUUGAGGAACUUAAGUUUGUGUAUGAAGCAAAAACCAUACAAAGAAUGGAAGUUUUUAGUUAUAAGCAGGUUGAAAUGGAAGUAGUGUCUACCCUUGUUUGUUGGAUUGAUUAUUUUGUUGGUUGCUUUGAAGUGUUAUUUCUUGGUUUUUAUCAAUCACCCUGAAGAUACUUGAAUUAUCAAUCACCUUCAAGAUAUUUGAAUGUUGAAUAUGUCAGGAAGAAGAUAGUAUUAAGAGUUUGGAUAUUUCUUGUGCUUGCAGUGGCAGCUUGAAGUUUUUUUAGCUUUAUUUGAGACCUCAAGAUCUUGGGUGGAGUUGCAAUGAAGAACUUGAAGCCUUAAUUCCUUUGCUAAAUAUAAUGGCCCACUAGAUCAUUGUUACUUGUUGUCUUUCAGGAUGUACCUAUAUGACCCUCCAAAUUACACAACCAACUCUCUAAAUCUUUGGACUUUAGAACUUUACAUAUACAUCAAAGAAGUCAUGCUUUCGAUUUGGAUCAAAUCUGUGGUGGAUGGUGGAGAGAACAUAACUUCAAGACUCGAAGUCAUGCGUUCGAUUUCGAGGGGGGAGGACUUUUAGUUUGUAUUUUAUAGUUUAAAAGUAAGUUCUCGCUCUUUGUUGAUAUACCAAUAAAAGUUGUUUGAAUCUAACAAAAUUUUAAUUUUGCUAUG